GGGGGCGUUGCUCAGAUGGUAGAGCCCUCGCUUAGCAUGCGAUAAGUACAGGGAUCGAUACCCCGCGCCUCCA